ensembl:rRNA 5S_rRNA 5S ribosomal RNA
GCCUAUGGCCAUACCACCCUGAACGCGCCUGAUCUCGUCUGAUCUUGGAAGCUAAGCAGGGUCGGGCCUGGUUAGUACUUGGAUGGGAAAUUUCUAAAAUAAAAAUAUGGCAGUUCUUUCUU